AAAAGGGCUUGGUUUCAUGCAUAGAACCCAUAUUCCCUCACAAGGUAGGUUCUAAGACUUUAUGAAGAUUUUCUAGAGUCACAGAUACUGAGGCAAAAAUAUCAUCAUCGCCAAAAAUAGCCAACAAUAUCUUCAGGAGCAUCUACUAUAAGUGAGAUGAAGUCUCAACUUCAAAAGCCGCAAGUUAACUAAAGGUCCUCAGAGUCAUGGAUCCGUUUUGGAAGAAUGGUUGUCAGCGCAAAAAUGAC
rnacentral:lncRNA from 1 species